rnacentral:rRNA from 1 species
GACGAACGCUGGCGGCGUGCUUAACACAUGCAAGUCGAACGGAAAGGCCCUGCUUGCAGGGUGCUCGAGUGGCGAACGGGUGAGUAACACGUGGGUGAUCUGCCCCUUACUUUGGGAUAAGCCUGGGAAACUGGGUCUAAUACUGGAUAGGACCAUGCUGUAGGUGGUGUGGUGGAAAGAUUAGUUUCGGUAAGGGAUGAGCUCGCGGCCUAUCAGCUUGUUGGUGGGGUAAUGGCCUACCAAGGCGUCGACGGGUAGCCGGCCUGACAGGGUGGACGGCCACAUUGGGACUGAGAUACGGCCCAGACUCCUACGGGAGGCAGCAGUGGGGAAUAUUGCACAAUGGGCGCAAGCCUGAUGCAGCGACGCCGCGUGGGGGAUGACGGCCUUCGGGUUGUAAACUCCUUUCAGCCAUGACGAAGCCCUUGUGGUGACGGUAGUGGUAGAAGAAGCACCGGCUAACUACGUG